rnacentral:tRNA from 2 species
GCGGGAAUAGCGUCAGUUGGUAGAGCACGACCUUGCCAAGGUCGGGGUCGCGAGUUCGAGUCUCGUUUCCCGCUCCA